GUGUCAUCCAGCGGUCCGAAUUCGAGGGCCUUCCCAUGCAGCCUUAACUUUCUUCAACUGGGCGGUGAUGGGUUCAGUCAUGACGGAGUAGUCGGCUCCUGUGUAGAUUAAAGCGGUGACUGCGUGGCCGUCGAGAAGCAUGUCGAUGUCGGGGG
rnacentral:lncRNA from 1 species